CCUACGGGUGGCAGCAGUCGAGAAUCAUUCACAAUGGGGGAAACCCUGAUGGGGCGACGCCGCGUGGGGGAAUGAAGGUCUGCGGAUUGUAAACCCCGGUCAUGUGGGAGCAAAGUAAAAAGAUAGUACCACAAGAGGAAGAGACGGCGAACACGGUGCCAGCAGCCGCGGUAAUACAGAGGUCUCAAGCGUUGUUCGGAAUCACUGGGCGUAAAGCGUGCGUAGGCGUUUUCGUAAGUCGUGUGUGAAAGGCGCGGGCUCAACCCGCGGACGGCCCCUGAUACUGCGAGACUAGAGUAAUGGAGGGGGAACCGGCAUUCUCGGUGUAGCCGU
rnacentral:rRNA from 1 species